AUCCGUAUUUAUUAACAUUUAUUAUUUUUCCUCUAUUAUUAUCGGUAAUUAUUACAUUUAUUAUUUUUACUCUAUUAUUAUUGGUAAUUAUCACAUUUAUUAUUUUCUCCACUAUUACAUUUUAUUAUUAUUUCUCUAUUAUUAUUGGUAUUAUUACAUUUAUUAUUUUUUCUACUAUUAUUGGUAUUAUUACAUGUAUCAUUUUUUCUCUAUUAUAACAUUUAUUAUUUUUCUCUAUUAUUAUUGGUAUUAUUACAUUUAUUAUUUUUCUCUAUUAUAAUCGGUAUUAUUACAUAUAUUAUUUUUCUCUAUUAUUGUUGCUACUUUUACAUUCAUUUUACUCUAUUAUUAUUAUUAUUAUUAUUAUUACAUUUAUUAUUUUACUCUGAUCUUGUUAUUGCAUUUAUUAUUUUACUCUAUAUACUCUCGAGUUGUAGUCCAACCUUGUUUUUGUUUAUGUAUUAAUUUUAUUUCUGACAUUUCUGCCCGCUUUAGGCGAGGUCAACGUGGGCGGCAUCGUGGCCGCGGUGGUGGUCAUCCUCCUCGUCCUGGCGCUGGUCAUCCUCGGCGUCUGGUACGCCUACAGCCGCGGAUACUUCAGCAAAAGAAAAGAGUGAGUAGAAACUCAUCCGGUGGAGUCAUUUUCCCGGUUCAUUCUGCCCUUGGCACAAGGCCUCCCGACAACCACAUACGACUAAGUAGCUAUUUGUCGUUCAUUAUGUUUUCCUGUCUCAAAGGUAUUAAUUAACACUUGCAUCCUGCUGCGACUUAAUGAGAGAUAGGAUCCCCCCCCCUUUUUUUUUUUUUUUGGUCUAACUGUUUUGAGGAGGAGAGUUUGGCCUUUGGAAACAGUGGAGGGGGAAGACUACACGGUUCCCGCGCCGCCUCAUGAUUUCGACUUGAAUCCCCUUAAACUAUUGUUAUUUUUCUUCCUCUUUUGUCCUUUUACUUCCUCUUUCGUUUUCUAAUCCCUUUCCGGUCUCUUUUCAGCGGCUCCAACAAGAAGGUCAUUUACAGCCAGCCUUCCAGCCGCAGCGACGUAAGUAAACGAAAAUGAACGAACUCGCUCUCUGUUUCUCGGGAAAUUUUGAGCCCGUAAAAGGCAGUGACUCACAAGUUUCGACAUGAAAAUGCGUGACUCACCCUUGGACUCGAGUGAACGAGCAGCUGUUUAUCUCGAUACGGUUUGCGUGGUUGGAAGAGAAAAACGUCCGGGUGGAAGAUGUGCCAGAAAAGACCCAAAACCCAACAAGAAUAUCACCUCAAGUAUUGGCCUACAACAACAAUAAUAAUAUUAAUAAUAUAAUAUAAAAAAAUAAUUUAAAAGAAAUAAUAAUAAUAUAAAAUUAUAAUAAUUGUUAUAAUCUAUAUAUAUAUAUAAAAGAGUGAUGGCAUCACGGCGACCCACAAAACAACAAAACUACAGGCCCCCCAACCUCGAAAUUUGACAACACAACCCAUCAUCCACACCUCUAGGUUGAUACAACAAAAAGAAAAGAAAAAUAAAGUCCUAAUGACAGGGAGAGGAAUAAUAGUUUUUAUCCAAUUGCAGCCAGUUAGAAGGCUAAGCUCCGCCCACUUGGUCUGCUGACAGAAGGCUAAGCUCUGCCUACUUGGUCUCCUUGCAACCCACUCUGCCCAGGGCCUCAGUUUCGCUGUUUAGUUUGAAUUAGAAAUGGUCAGAACAUUAGAGAGUCAUCUCUGGUUGCUUGAGAGUUUGUAUUAAUACUAUGACAGUUGGCUCUCAUUUAACCGGCACCUGUGGGGAGCGGUUGAUGUUGGAUAACUGAGAGGUGACUAAUAACAGCAUGCACACUUGCCACACCGAGACUAUUCAGUGUAUUCCAGCUCACCAAACUAGGAUUACAAUAGGAAGAAAACGGCCACACUUUGCGGCUGCAAGGCUGUUCACUGCUAAUCCACCUGGCCAACAAACAAAUCCAAAAAGCCACAGCAACGCGUGGCCGGGCACAGCUAGUAAUAUUACAUAAUACUAUAAAAUACUAAUACUAAUAACAUAAAAUAAAUAAUAAAAAUAAUAUUAGAAAGCGUGCCUAUCAUUUGAGUUGUGCUCCUUACUAAAUAUAUCUUGAGGCUCAUAUUAAUUGCCUCUGUCCAUGGUAGAGUCUUUGUUUUCUGUAUUUAAUUUAAUUUAAUUACAUUUAAUUUCUCUCUCCACUUUCCAGGGCGAAUUCAAACAGACGUCUUCCUUCUUGGUCUGAAGCCCGACUACGAUCCGGCCUCGUCUUCCUGUUGUAAAUGUUCUCUUGACGAUCUUUUGUAAUUAAGUGUGAUUUUAAAACAGAUUUUUUUUUAAAAGGAUUUAGUGUGACAUGUCAAGACCUUCCGAGAAAUGCCUUAAAUCUGAUUAAUCUUGAGUUGAUACGAGACGCCGGACAGACAGCUCCGCCUUGUGUGCCUUUAUAAAUACACAUAUUAUUAUUAUUAUUAUUAUUAUUAUUAUUUGUAAUUUUAUAUGCUGGACGAGAAAAUAAAGGUCGAGUCUCUUUGGGCCUCCGAUCCCGUGUUUGCCGGUGUUUUGGGUCCGAUAGGAUGGGUUCGUCUCCAAAGGUUUAGUUGUAAAAAAAUAAGGUUUGAAGAAGAACGUUCAUAACAACGUAACAUUGUGAAGGUGGUUAUAAGGAAAAUUGUGGAAUUAGAGCAACCUGACUUAUUCGGUCGUUUGUGUGAAAUAAAUUGUAAGGAGAAUUGCGAAACGUUUGCAACCUGAACGUCAGUCGUUCUCAUGAAAUAAAUUGUAAGGAAAAUUGCGAAAUUUGCACAACCUUAAGUUCGGUCGUUCUGUUGAAAUUUGUUGUAUGGAAAAUUGGGAAUUGAUAGCAAAAUUCUAAGGAGAAUUGCAAAAUUUAAGUCAUUCUAGUGAAAUAAAUUAUAAGGAGAAUUGCAAAACGUUUGCAACCUGAACGUCCGUCGUUCUCGUGAAAUAAAUUGUAAGGAAAAUUGUGAAAUUUUCACAACCUUAACUUCGGUCAUUCUGUUGAAAUUUAUUGUAUGGAAAAUUGGGAAAUGAUAGCAACCUAACUUCAGUCGUUCUCGUGAAAUAAAUUGUAAGGAGAAUUGCAAAAUUUCAGUCAUUCUAGUGAAAUAAAUUAUAAGGAGAAUUGCAAAAUUUUUACAACCUCAUCCAGUUGUUCUCGUGAAAUAAAUUGUAAGGAGAAUUGCAAAAUUUUUGCAUCCUUAUCCGGUUCUCGUGAAAUAAAUUGUAAGGAGAACUGCAAAAUCUUGGCAAGCGUAAUCAGUCAUUCUAGUUCAAUCAACUGCAAGGACGAUUGGGCAAUCACAGCCACCUGGUUCUGGUCGUUCUGGUCAAGGAAGUUCUAGGGGAAAUGGGGUCCCUGGCCUGUCUGCCUGGGCUUCUGCUGACCUCACACUGGGAUGUCCUUCUUGGCCAAUCGAAGGACGCGAGUAGUCUCUAUGGCAGCCCCAUCCUGGCCUGAGGAAGGAGCAACCUGUCGCUGACCCUCCGGAUUGUCCGGCCAUGGAGACGCUUCACGCGUGUGGGGGGCGCAAGUGGCGUGAGUAUCCGGAGGGGGGGCGGGUUCCAACAGGUUUUAUUGUACCAAAUACCAGAACCUUCUCUUUGGCCCACAUAUAUAGGGGCUCUCACAUACCAGAGGGUCAUUGAGGUUUUAUGGCUGGCCUGUUUUAUGGCUGGCAUCUGUUCUUUGUCAGCCAACCAGAGAUGUCACAGAUUGGAGAUCAUGACAUAACAGGUUUUAUUGUACAGAAUACCAGAACCUUCUCUUUGGCCCACUUAUAUAGGGGCUCUCACAUACCAGAGGGUCAUUGAGGUUUUAUGGCUGGCAUCUGUUCUUUGUCAGCCGACCAGAGAUGUCAAAGAUUGGAGAUCAUGACAUAACAGGUUUUAUUGUACAGAAUAUCAGAACCUUUUCUUUGGCCCACUUAUAUAGGGGCUCUCACAUACCAGAGGGUCAUUGAGGUUUUAUGGCUGGCAUCUGUUCUUUGUCAGCCGACUGGAGAUGUCAAAGAUUGGAGAUCAUGACAUAACAGGUUUUAUUGUACAGAAUAUCAGAACCUUUUCUUUGGCCCACUUAUAUAGGGGCUCUCACAUACCAGAGGGUCAUUGAGGUUUUAUGGCUGGCAUCUGUUCUUUGUCAGCCGACUGGAGAUGUCAAAGAUUGGAGAUUAUGACAUAACAGGUUUUAUUGUACAGAAUACCAGAACCUUCUCUUUGGCCCACUUAUAUAGGGGCUCUCAUAUACCAGAGGGUCAUUGAGGUUUUAUGGCUGGCAUCUGUUCUUUGUCACAGAUUGGAGAUCAUGACACGUGGCCAUACACAACAGCCCAAUUCUUAGUUUGGAUGCAGUCCAAACGUGGUUGUGCGACCGUCUCCCGGGUCAACUGGGCGGUGAGUCUCUGCCGGUCUUCCUCUUCCAGGCUGACCGAUUACCGUCUU
ensembl:lncRNA